GAUGAACGCUGGCGGCGUGCCUAAUACAUGCAAGUCGAGCGAACAGACGAGGAGCUUGCUCCUCUGACGUUAGCGGCGGACGGGUGAGUAACACGUGGAUAACCUACCUAUAAGACUGGGAUAACUUCGGGAAACCGGAGCUAAUACCGUAUAAGAUAUUGAACCGCAUGGUUCAAUAGUGAAGGACGGUUUUUCUGUCACUUCUAGAUGGAUCCGGGCCGCAGUAGCUAGUUGGUAAGGUAACGGCUUACCAAGGCGACGAUGCGUAGACGACCUGAGAGGGUGAUCGGCCGCCCGAGAACUGGAACACGGUCCAGACUCCUGAGGGAGGCAGCAGUAGGGAAUCUUCCGCAAUAGGCGAAAGCAUGACGGAGCAACGCCGCGUGAGUGAUGACGGUGUUCCGAUCGUAAAACUCUGUUAUGAGGGAAGAACAAAUGUGUAAGUAGAUAUACACGUAUUGACGGUACCUAGUAAGAAAGCAACGGCUAACUACGUG
rnacentral:rRNA from 1 species